UACGAAGGGUGCAAGCGUUACUCGGAAUUACUGGGCGUAAAGCGUGCGUAGGUGGUGAGUUAAGUGUGUCGUGAAAGCCCCGGGCUCAACCUGGGAAUGGCGAUGGAAACUGGCUCGCUAGAGUGCGGUAGAGGAGAGUGGAAUUCCCGGUGUAGCAGUGAAAUGCGUAGAGAUCGGGAGGAACAUCAGUUGCGAAGGCGGCUCUCUGGACCAGCACUGACACUGAGGCACGAAAGCGUGGGGAGCAAACAGG
rnacentral:rRNA from 1 species